rnacentral:rRNA from 1 species
GUAGGUGGCAAGCGUUGUCCGGAAUUAUUGGGCGUAAGGCGCGCGCAGGCGGUUCUUUAAGUCUGAUGUGAAAGCCCACGGCUCAACCGUGGAGGGUCAUUGGAAACUGGAGAACUUGAGUACAGAAGAGGAAAGCGGAAUUCCACGUGUAGCGGUGAAAUGCGUAGAGAUGUGGAGGAACACCAGUGGCGAAGGCGGCUUUCUGGUCUGUAACUGACGCUGAGGCGCGAAAGCGUGGGGAGCAAACAGGAUUAGAUACCCUGGUAGUACGCCGUAAACGAUGAGUGCUAAGUGUUAGGGGGGUUUCCGCCCCCUUAGUGCUGCAGCUAACGCAUUAAGCACUCCGCCUGGGGAUACGGCCGCAAGGCUG